UAGGGAAUAUUGCGCAAUGGGCGAAAGCCUGACGCAGCAACUCCACGUGUGGGAUGAAGCAUUUCGGUGUGUAAACCACUGUCGGCAGGGAACAAAAGCCCCGUAAGGGUGAUUGAGGGUACCUGCAGAGGAAGCACCGGCAAACUUCGUGCCAGCAGCCGCGGUAACACGAGGGGUGCGAGCGUUGUUCGGAAUCACUGGGCGUAAAGGGCGCGUAGGCGGGCUGGUAAGUCGGGGGUUUAAUCACGGGGCCUAACCCCGUGGCCGCCUCCGAUACUGCCAGUCUUGGGUAGGUCAGGGGCUUGGGGAACAUCUGGUGUAGCGGUGGAAUGCGUAGAUAUCAGAUGGAACACCAGUGGCGAAGGCGCCAAGCUGGGACCAUACCGACGCUGAGGCGCGAAAGUGCGUGGAGCGAACAGG
rnacentral:rRNA from 1 species